UUUUUUAAACCCAUAAAAUAAAAACUUAAUUUUUUGGAUUGAAAUAAUUCGCGGAAAUGGCUAAUUCCCCCCGGGCUGGUUUCAAUGGAUGUGAAGAUACCUCGCCUUUGGCCUCCUACCAGUUUCUCCUCCAGUGGCUAGACCAAAGGCAGCGCGGCUCUCGGGAGCAGCACUUUCCCAGGCUUGGCUUUCGCUGGCCGGGAGGAUGU